rnacentral:rRNA from 1 species
UAUUGAUUUUAUUAUUUUUAUUUUUUGUUUUUAUUAUUAUUUAAUAAAAAUAAUUUUUAUGUUUUUUGUCUUAGUAUAUUUUAUUGAAUAGAUUUUUUAAUUUAUAAUUUAUUAUUAAUGUAAUUGGACUAUGAAAUAUUUUUUUUAAUUUUAAUAAGUAAAUUUUGUUUAUUGUACCUUUUGUAUCAGGGUUUAUCAAAAUUUUGGUAAUGAUUUGCUUAUCUCGAUUUAGGUUGAUUUAUAAAUAAAUUAAGUUUAAUGUGUUAUAAUUAUUUUUAAUUUAUUUAUUGAAAUGAAAUGUUAAUCGUUUCCUAAGAUAUCUAGUUUCUUAAGAAAAAAUUUAAUUUUUAAAGUUAUUUGUUUUAUUUAAUUUGUUUUAUUUAGAAUAUUAACUUAUUUAUUCCUUAGGGGAUAAGCUCUUGGGAUUUAUAAUCUAUAUUUAAUUAAUUUGAUAUAAAAACGGUAGGCUUUGAAUCAGCUAUCUUUAAGAUUACGUUUUAGUUCAUUAUUUUUAUUUUGAUUUUAUAAUUAUAUUAGAUUUUUUAUUAAGAUUUUUAAUUCAAUUAUUGGGUUUUUGAAAUAAUGAUUGAAUUAGUAUAUUAAUUUUGUUUAUAAUAUCUUUAUUGGUUAAUUUAUUAUAAGGAAUUAGGCAAUUAUUGAUUUUCGCCUGUUUACCAAAAACAUGUCCUCUUGAUAAAUAAUUUGAGGUCUGGCCUGCUCACUGAUUAAUAUUAAAUAGCCGCGGUAUUUUGACCGUGCAAAGGUAGCAUAAUCAUUAGUUUCUUAAUUAGAAGCUGGAAUGAAUGGCUUGACGAAAAAUCAACUGUCUCUUAUUAAUUUUUUGAAUUUAACUUUUGAGUUAAAAGGCUUAAAUUUAAUUUUAGGACGAGAAGACCCUAUAGAGCUUUACAUUUUAUUUUUAUAUAUAUUUUUUGGUUUAGUCUUUGUAUAUUUAAUUUUAAUGUUUUGUUGGGGUGACAUGAAUAAUAAUUAAACUUUUCAUUAAAUAAAUCAUUAAUUUAUGUUUAUUAUGAUCCAUAAUUUAUGAUCAUAAGAUUAAGUUACCUUAGGGAUAACAGCGUAAUUAUUUUUGAGAGCUCAUAUCGACAAAGUAGAUUGCGACCUCGAUGUUGGAUUAAGAAAAAUUUUAGGUGUAGGAGCCUAAUAAUUAGGUCUGUUCGACCUUUAAAUUCUUACAUGAUCUGAGUUCAGACCGGCGUGAGCCAGGUCGGUUUCUAUCCUAAGUUUAUUAAUUUAUAUUAGUACGAAAGGACCAUUUAAUUGAAAUAUUUUCUUAAUUAUGAUUUAAAUUAAUUUAAU